GAAAACGGUCAAACAGCCAAAAUCAGGCAAUAGGUUAAAUUAGAGAUACUUAAGCAUUGCCAAGGACGGACCUCAAAAUCGUUACUAGUAAUAACUAUCGACAUGUACUAAAUAUUGUUCUCCACCAAUAUGACGUGUUUGCAAACAAAGUAGCUAAAUAAUAGAUUAAAUAUGCACGAAUGUGAAUGUCCUAAAGAGCCAGAUACAAAAAGGUACUGGCCAUGGACAACAUUGCUUUCGCCUGGGACUUCAGCAGAGGAAUCUCCUCUAACUUCUUGGUCGUGGUUUGGACGGCCAUCUGACGCAUCAUCGAGAGACAAGCCUAGGGUUAAUUCUACGCCUGCGGAACCUUCGGGGUCGCCUAGAGUUGGCAAGCACUUCAUGAAAUGGCUGGCUUUGUUACUCGGCGGGUCUACUGCGGCAAUUUUAGCCUAUUUAUACAAACGCAAGAGGAAAGACAACGUUACGAAAGACCAAAAUGUAGAAACAUCAGAUUGGCCACGAAAAAAGAAAAUUAAUCAAUACAGACCGUUCUACAUCUGCGAAUAACGAAUAACUUUCCGGAACAAUUCUGAAACAAACACCCCACGGAUCAGUUGAAGAAAUUUUAAGAACUCUCAAAAUAAAUGAAACCCAAAACCGUGUUACACUAUCGGCAAUUAUAAACUCAAUAAAGGAAGUGGAGUUAUAACAA